rnacentral:SRP_RNA from 1 species
GCCAGGCAUGGUGGCGCAUGCCUGUAGUUCCAGUUACUCGGAGGCUGAGGCAGAAGAAUCACUUGAACCCGGGAGGUGGAGGUUGCAGUGAGCCAAGAUCGCGCCACUACACUCCAGCCUGGGUGACAGAGUGAGACUCCGUCUCAA